rnacentral:rRNA from 1 species
AGAGUUUGAUCCUGGCUCAGAACGAACGCUGGCGGCAGGCCUAACACAUGCAAGUCGAGCGCCCGCAAGGGAGCGGCAGACGGGUGAGUAACGCGUGGGAACGUGCCCUUUGGUUCGGAAUAUUCCCGGGAAACUGGGAGCAAAACCGGAUAAGCCCUUCGGGGGAAAGUUUACGCCAAAGGAUCGGCCCGCGUUAGAUUAGGUAGUUGGUGGGGUAACGGCCUACCAAGCCUACGAUCUAUAGCUGAUCUGAGAGGAUGAUCAGCCACACUGGGACUGAGACACGACCCAGACUCCUACGGGAGGCAGCAGUGGGGAAUCUUGGACAAUGGGCGCAAGCCUGAUCCAGCCAUGCCGCGUGGAUGACUGAAGGCCCUAGGGUUGUAAAGUCCUUUCGACGGGGACGAUAAUGACGGUACCCGUAGAAGAAGCCCCGGCUAACUUCGUGCCAGCAGCCGCGAUAAUACGAAGGGGGCUAGCGUUGUUCGGAUUUACUGGGCGUAAAGGGCGCGUAGGCGGAUUUUUAAGUCGGGGGUGAAAUCCCGGAGCACAACUCCGGAACUGCCUUCGAUACUGGAAGUCUGGAGCACGGUAGAGGUGAGUGGAAUUCCGAGUGUAGAGGUGAAAUUCGUAGAUAUUCGGAGGGACACCAGUGGCGAAGGCGGCUCACUGGACCGUUGCUGACGCUGAGGCGCGAAAGCGUGGGGAGCAAACAGGAUUAGAUACCCUGGUAGUCC